rnacentral:rRNA from 1 species
UUUAUCGGAGAGUUUGAUCCUGGCUCAGGACGAACGCUGGCGGCGUGCCUAAUACAUGCAAGUCGAGCGGACAGAUGGGAGCUUGCUCCCUGAUGUUAGCGGCGGACGGGUGAGUAACACGUGGGUAACCUGCCUGUAAGACUGGGAUAACUCCGGGAAACCGGGGCUAAUACCGGAUGGUUGUCUGGACCGCAUGGUUCAGACAUAAAAGGUGGCUUCGGCUACCACUUACAGAUGGACCCGCGGCGCAUUAGCUAGUUGGUGAGGUAACGGCUCACCAAGGCGACGAUGCGUAGCCGACCUGAGAGGGUGAUCGGCCACACUGGGACUGAGACACGGCCCAGACUCCUACGGGAGGCAGCAGUAGGGAAUCUUCCGCAAUGGACGAAAGUCUGACGGAGCAACGCCGCGUGAGUGAUGAAGGUUUUCGGAUCGUAAAGCUCUGUUGUUAGGGAAGAACAAGUGCCGUUCAAAUAGGGCGGCACCUUGACGGUACCUAACCAGAAAGCCACGGCUAACUACGUGCCAGCAGCCGCGGUAAUACGUAGGUGGCAAGCGUUGUCCGGAAUUAUUGGGCGUAAAGGGCUCGCAGGCGGUUUCUUAAGUCUGAUGUGAAAGCCCCCGGCUCAACCGGGGAGGGUCAUUGGAAACUGGGGAACUUGAGUGCAGAAGAGGAGAGUGGAAUUCCACGUGUAGCGGUGAAAUGCGUAGAGAUGUGGAGGAACACCAGUGGCGAAGGCGACUCUCUGGUCUGUAACUGACGCUGAGGAGCGAAAGCGUGGGGAGCGAACAGGAUUAGAUACCCUGGUAGUCCACGCCGUAAACGAUGAGUGCUAAGUGUUAGGGGGUUUCCGCCCCUUAGUGCUGCAGCUAACGCAUUAAGCACUCCGCCUGGGGAGUACGGUCGCAAGACUGAAACUCAAAGGAAUUGAC